CGGACGGACGGAAGGAUGGGAGGAUGGAUGGACGGAUGGAUAGAUAAACUGUUUACUUGAAAGUUGUCCAGUAGGUAAUUAUUGAGCUACUAUAUCAGAGGACAUUAAUAUAAGGGUGGCAGAACAAGGUGCACAAGAACCAGGAAUGGCCCCAGUCCAAGAUGAUUGUCAAGAAAAGUCAACUGAAGAGCUUCACAGGAAGUGGACCGAGGGUUAGAGGUUUCCUAUAAAGUGUCCCGUCAUCAUCAGAACACUCCUCUUCUGAAAUUUCUUCUGAUCCAUCCUGUUUGGCUUUCACACCAA
ensembl:lncRNA